AUUGAACGCUGGCGGAAUGCUUUACACAUGCAAGUCGAACGGCAGCACGGGAGCUUGCUCCUGGUGGCGAGUGGCGAACGGGUGAGUAACAUAUCGGAACGUAUCCAAUAAUGGGGGAUAACGAGUCGAAAGAUUCGCUAAUACCGCAUACGCCCUGAGGGGGAAAGCUGGGGAUCGUAAGACCUUGUGCUAUCAGAAGA
rnacentral:rRNA from 1 species